GUUACUAUUUCAAAAUAAAACAGGAAAUGACAAGACAAAUAAACCAGACAAAAUAAAACUAACCCAACAACUUCACUGCGGAGUGACAAAAAUAAAAGCAUAAGGCAAUAAAAUACUUAUUAUACAACUGUUUGUUGUAUUUUUGCACCAUCAAUUCUCUCCCCUCUGAAUCCUUUCUGUGGUGGAAAAUUGUGGAUUAAGCCCUUGUGAUAAAUCAAAAGUAUCUUGAACUCGCUUUGUGAUAAAGUAUUUAUUACUAACUAGAAUAUAGAAAAAUGAUAAAGAAUACAGAAAUCAUCCACACAAGUCAUAAGUACAGACAGAAGUCAAAUGACUACAAUUUAGCUUAAAAGGGGCAGAUUGUUCUUCCUCCCUCAGAGGAGCUCGAACAUCUCCCUUAAUGGGACCUAGUCAAUCAUGUUUGACAGGCAGAGGAAUCAGGAAUCAGGAAUCAGGAAACAUGUAUUGCCAUAAUAUGUCAGACAUACAAGGAAUUUGACUUGGCAGUUGGUGCAUAACGGCAGACAGUACGACAAUGGACGACAAGACAACAGUGCCAGACGGAUAAAAUAAAAUAUAAUGCUAUGGGUUAGUUUAAAAAUAAAGGAAUAAAAGCUAAAAGUUAAAAAUAUUUAAAAAAAUUAAAAAUAAAGUGCACCAGUGAACUGAAAGUGACGUGUGCAGUGUGAAAGAAAGUAACCGGUGGAAUGUCAGAGAAAACAGGAUAUGGAUCAGUCGAGGGACCUUCCAAACAGGAUGCUAGUUCAGGUCACGAGUUUACGUUCUUAAACUCCACAGCUUUGCCUUUCAGGCAUCUUAUGAAGUCAUGUGAUGCUCAGAAAACAAGUUAACAUCCAGGGAUCAAAAGAUUCCAACAAGGGAGUGUAAAAUAUUAUUUGGAAGUACGGCAUAAACAUUUGAUUAGUUGGUCUGUCGCAUAAGAGAAAUUGCAGCACAAAUGAAGUGAAAAACAAAUGUCCUGGGACAAGUACUAUAGCCACAGCAACGAUGAUCAUCCUGCUCUGGUACGCACACUGAGAGGCUCCUCGGGAAAAACUAACCAAAAUAUGACUGUUAAGAGGUGAAUGUCGAACACUGUGAACAAGCAAAGACAUGCACUUGUAACCUUAUAUUGGGGGCAACCGUGGCGACGGUGGCGCAUCGAGUACCGAGGGUGCGCCGCGAACCACAGGGGCGUCGGUUUGAACCCCGGCUGAUCCAUGUCCCGUGUCGACGUGUCUGUGAGCACGACACCCAACCCCUAAACUGCUGCGCGGGCGGCCUUACAGCUGCACACUGCUCCCACCAUGUGGGAAGUGUUAAAAUGCAAUGCAAGUCACUUUGGAUAACAGCGUCAGCUACAUGACAUGUAAUGUGUUGUUUGGGGACAGUUCCUAUGUAGUUCUACAUUCAAUGACUUUACAAAUAAUAGCCUUGUUUCUUAAUAGGAAACUUAAAAAGAAAACAGAAGUGUGGCUCCUGCCCACAUUUCACCAUAUGUGAAUUGACAAUUAUUGAGAAGGCAAGAAAAAAAGGAUGUAUCCUGUCCCUGAGGGCAUUAUUCUUCUUCUUCUUCUUUCUUGGGCAACUCCAAAAGCAAGUGAAGGAAUUAGUAAUUUAGUAAAAAGCAAUGGACCAGGCAGACGGAACCACCAGCUGGACCAAAACCAGACACUUUAGCAUUAACACUCACGUGACUCCUCUUAUGCCCAAGAAGGAUCGAUAAAGUCAGUGGUUGAAGCAAACUCUCUCCUGGUCGAUUUACCCACCCUGUUGCUCUAUUUAUUUCAGAAAAUGGUGUUGUUACACAAAAGUUGUUUUGUGAGUCAAGCGGCCCCUCCUCCCCAAAUAGUUUCAGGCUACUAGACAAGCUCAAAGCUUAUUUAAGAGCACAAAUAAUAUUGUAUACAAUGGGUAUCAAAUAUACGUGUGACGACUCGAAGAGACAGUGAAGAUUAACUUCCUGUUUUAUUUUUGUAACCACUGCACUUCCUGUAUCUAGUUUGUCACCCUUCGUUUCUCCCCACAGCUGAGUUUAGUUUGCAAUCACCUCCACCUGUAUUUAAGCCUCAGUUUCCCCCCACUUGUCUGAGUCAGGUUAUCUUUUGUCUUUCCCAGAGGUGCAUGUUUGUAGUAAGAAAUUCCCAGUGCUGUUGACAGGCCCUCUUCCUUUUUUGUUUCUACAAGAGCGUGUGGGUUCCGCCUUUGCCUGUGCACCCUUUUUGUCUUGCAUUAGUUUUUUCCGAGUAAAAGAUUCCAAACCUGGAAAGAAGUUUUUGUUGCCUUAUUGCUCUGCACCUGAGUCGAAGUCCUGACCCCUCACAAUACGGCAGAGAUAAACAGCUGGAAGGAGAUAUUUUGAAAAUGGAAAAAUACUUUCAACAAUCUGGGUCUAAAGAACUUUAACAAAACAUAAACCAAACAAAAAUAUUAAGAAUUGGGUUAUUGGGCUCAUAAAAUUCUACCCUGGCAACUGAGAACAGAGGAGAGCUCAAGGACAAUUAAUGUAAUCCAAACAGAAACCGGUUCAGAUACAUAUGACCCCACAGAAAUCAAUGACGCAUUCAAACAGUUUUACAUUAAUCUAUAUCAGAGUAGUCAAAGGACCUGGCUAAGAUUUGGUCUACCAAUGAAUUGCCAAAACUCAGCCAUGAAGACAGAAAUAAUCUAGAUUUGCCCUUCACCAAGGGAGAAACCCAAACAGCCUCAGGCUCACUACAAUCCCAGGAGAGAAUCGCUUCCCUCCCAAAUUCAAAGACUUUAAAGACUUACUCUCACGCCUUCUAGUGGAGGUGAUUCAUUUAACAUAAACUACUCAAACUCUCCCUCAAUCAUUCUCUACUACCAUAAUCACUGCGAUUCACAAAAAGAACAACAAUCCAUUCAAAUAAUUCUUCUUUUUGACCCAUUUUGUUAUUGAAUUCGGAUUCAAAAAAUAAAUAAGCUGUAACGGCAUGUAAUGACACGCGACUCCAGGGGUCUUUGACCUUUUAUUAAAGCUCUGGAACAGCAGGCAGAAUAACUAAUAAAUAAACUGUGACAUAAGCCUUAAGCAGUGAAGAAUUACAAUGAUAAUAAAUGUAUGUAAUUCUAUGAAUACAAUUUACAAAGAGAAGUUGUAAAAUAUUAUUUGGAAAUACGGCAUAAACAUUUGACUAGUUGGUCUGUCACAUAAGAGAAAUUGCAGUAUGAAUGAAAUUAAAAACACAUGUCCUGGGACAAGUACUAUAUGAUCAGCCUGUUCUGGUAUGCACACUGUUGCAAGGUCGAGAAAGGCUCCUCCUCAGUAAAAAAUAAUGAAAUU
ensembl:lncRNA